UACGUAGGUGGCAAGCGUUGUCCGGAUUUACUGGGCGUAAAGAGCGCGCAGGCGGUCGUUCAAGUCGCGUGUGAAAGCCCCCGGCUCAACUGGGGAGGGUCACGCGAUACUGAUCGACUCGAAGGCAGGAGAGGGUAGUGGAAUUCCCGGUGUAGUGGUGAAAUGCGUAGAUAUCUGGAGGAACACCGGUGGCGAAGGCGGCAUCCUGGACCGAGAUUGACGCUGAGGCGCGAAAGCCAGGGGAGCAAACAGG
rnacentral:rRNA from 1 species